UUUUAACUGUAUAUCAUGAGUCCUAUCCACUGGGUAGUUUAGACGAUGGUAGAAUGUGCACCAUUUUCAUCUUACUUUUUACUUGUUAAUACUCUUGGGAAUAGUUGAUACUGAAAUAGUAAUUAAGCAUAGCCCUUUCUGUGCAUAGUCCAUUGUACAAAUGCCGUCUUGCACAUAAUCUUCCUUUCAAAUUAAUCUAAAAGUUCAGUUUCCUGUCCAGUUUUAUUGGUCAGUAAAGCUGGGAUUUUGAUAUAAAACCAAAAUAGGUUUAUUGUCUCCUUCAACCCUGCUCCUGAUGGCUUCCAUGAAAGGGUAACAGCUAUGGCAAUUGGAAUCGGGCAGUUAUUGGUGAGAUGGCCAGAAUCGUCUGUGCUUGCUUCAGAGCCUGACGUUGAUUGAAUGCUCUUGAAUGUUCAGCAGCUCACUGGUCCUGUGAGUUAGACUUCUUGAAGAGUACAUGGUCUUUUGCACUUCCUCCCAUCAUCAGCCCAGUGCCAAUGUCUGCUGUGCAACUCAAGUCUACGCAGAGAACUUUAAACUUCAAGCAGUUGCUGCAAAGCAGUUGUGGUGCAAGAAAACACUGUGUUCAUCUCAAUCACCACCUUUCUCCUUGUCCUUUGCCAUUGAGAGGUGAGGAUGACCCCAGAUUGGAGGAGGAGGAGCUGCUAGGCAGUGACAGGCAGGAGAAGGGAAUGUGCUGGGCCCAGAUCAAUCUGACAUCUUCAAAAUAGUUGUGUGAUUGUUUGUUUUGCCUUCCUUCCUAUUCCCCACCGCCAGUUGAAUCAGCAUGUUCUUCCAAGCUGACUUUCCACCUUUGUUUUCUUCUCCAUUUCUUUUAUAGCAGAAAUUGAUUGUUUCUUCCACUCUCUGAAACAAACUAGAUUUAAUGAAUGCUUACUCCUUUACAGUGGACCUUCAAGUUACGUACCGCUCUGGACAUGUAACUUUCAGGUUGCAAACGUGGCAAACCCGGAAGUGUAUACUUCCGGGUUUCGCUGCGCAUGCGCGGUAGCGCUCUGUAGUGCCGCGUGCAUGCGCAGAAGCAGCGCCUCGAGUUACGGACUUUUCAGGUUAAAUAUGGACCCCCGGAACGAAUUUAAUUCGUAUCCGGAGGCUCCACUUUAUAUGCUGCUUUAAGAUCUACAAGUUAACCUUUCUUCCACAAGAAAAUAGGCCUGUGAGUGCUCAGAGAAAGAACCUUGCCUGCCAUGCACUAAUACUAAUCCAUUAUAGAUGUCAAGUCCAAAAGGUUCUGUACUACUGAGCUUUUAAUGGUUUUUUACCUGUUCAGUUCACAUCUGUUCAUUGCCAAUAUUAUAUUCACAUUAGAUUGCAGAAUGGUCCUGCUUCUGAUGUUAUAUCUUAGUAUUUUGGUUCUGGUUUUCUUUGAUUAAGUGGAGAUUCAAAUUUGUUAUUUUAAUUUUUUUUAAAAUAGAUAUGCUUGUUUCAGUUUUGUUCUUUCUAUCACUUUUUUUAAAGCUGCCUUUUAAUUUAUAAUUUAAGUUACAUAAAAUGUAUGAAUCUUUUUUUUAAAAGAAGAAAUGAAUUGCAUUGCAACUGGGCUUCAGGUAAAUAUCAAAGCACUUAAACAUCUCCUGUGUUUAAGAAUCCUUGGCCUUUGGAUAUAAUUUUUUUCAUCUCUUUGUCUGAUUCAGUGGCAUAUAGCAGCAUUGGACAAUAAUCUGGGGAGGCAUCAUAGCUUAGUGGGUAAAGCACAUGCUUUAGAUAAAGAGGGUUUUAGGUUCAAACCUGGUUCCUUCUUUCAACCAGACUGGAAAGAACCUCCAAGGCAAUACUGGGCUAGGUGUCCAAUGGCAUGGCUUGGUAUAUGUUCCCCUUGUUGCUUAUACAGUGGUACCUUGGUUCUCGAACAGCUUAGUUGUCGAACAAAUGGCUCCCGAACGGUGCAAACUCGGAAGUAAGUGUUCCGAUAGGCGAACGUUUUUUGGAAACUGAACAUCUGAUACGAAUUCCAAUUGAGUGCAGAAAGCUCUUGCAGCCAAUCAGAAGCCACACCUUGGUUUUCAAACCGUUUCAGGAGUCGAACGGACUCCUGGAAUGGAUUAAGUUCGAGAACCAAGGUACCACUGUAUCUGUUAUUUAAAAAUCUCAUAGAAAUUGAUGCACUUUUUCAUUCCAAACCAGGGUCCAAUAAUAUUCAGUGUUCUAUUCCUCUUUUUCCCUGAUAUUAUUAUUCCCCAAAUGAACUUUGUAAAACGCUCUUGCUUGGUAGGUAAUUUUGCUAUAUCGAUGAAUGGGGCUACACGAUGAAAAGAGCAUAUAAAAUCGGCAUUAACUUUGCUAGUUAACUUUCUUUUAAUUGGCAACAUUGAAAUAAACAACGUUUUGAAUAAAUAAACUGCAUUAAAUGUAA